rnacentral:rRNA from 1 species
AUUGAACGCUGGCGGCAUGCUUUACACAUGCAAGUCGAACGGUAACAGGCCGCAAGGUGCUGACGAGUGGCGAACGGGUGAGUAAUGCAUCGGAACGUGCCCAGUCGUGGGGGAUAACGCAGCGAAAGCUGUGCUAAUACCGCAUACGAUCUAUGGAUGAAAGCGGGGGACCGUAAGGCCUCGCGCGAUUGGAGCGGCCGAUGUCAGAUUAGCUAGUUGGUGGGGUAAAGGCCCACCAAGGCGACGAUCUGUAGCUGGUCCGAGAGGACGACCAGCCACACUGGGACUGAGUCACAGCCCAGACGCCUACGGGAGGUAGCAGUGGGGAAUUUUGGACACUGGGCGCAAGCCUGAUCCAGCAAUGCCGCGUGCAGGAAGAAGGCCUUCGGGUUGUAAACUGCUUUUGUACGGAACGAAACGGUCUGGGUUAAUACCCUGGGCUAAUGACGGUACCGUAAGAAUAAGCACCGGCUAACUACGUGCCAGCCGCCGCGGUAACAC